GACGAACGCUGGCGGCGUGCCUAAUACAUGCAAGUCGAGCGGACGAAUCGAAAGCUUGCUUUUGAUUCGUUAGCGGCGGACGGGUGAGUAACACGUGGGCAACCUGCCCUGUAGACGGGGAUAACACCGAGAAAUCGGUUCUAAUACCGGAUAACACGAAAUGUCGCAUGACGUUUCGUUUAAAGACGGCGCUAGCUGUCGCUACAGGAUGGGCCCGCGGCGCAUUAGCUAGUUGGUGAGGUAACGGCUCACCAAGGCGGCGAUGCGUAGCCGACCUGAGGGGGGGAUCGGCCACACGGGGACUGAGACACGGCCCAGACUCCUACGGGAGGCAGCAGUAGGGAAUCUUCCGCAAUGGACGAGAGUCUGACGGAGCAACGCCGCGUGAGCGAAGAAGGCCUUCGGGUCGUAAAGCUCUGUUGUUAGGGAAGAACAAGUAACGCAGUAACUGGCGUUACCGUGACGGUACCUAACGAGAAAGCCACGGCUAACUACGUG
rnacentral:rRNA from 1 species